rnacentral:rRNA from 1 species
AUUGAACGCUGGCGGCAGGCCUAACACAUGCAAGUCGAGCGGGGACUUCGGUCCUAGCGGCGAACGGGUGAGUAAUGCUUGGGAAUCUGCCCAGUAGUGUGGGAUAACGUCCCGAAAGGGACGCUAAUACCGCAUACGUCCUACGGGAGAAAGAGGGGGAUCUUCGGACCUCUCGCUAUUGGAUGAGCCCAAGUCGGAUUAGCUAGUUGGUAGGGUAAUGGCCUACCAAGGCGACGAUCCGUAGCUGGUCUGAGAGGAUGAUCAGCCACACUGGAACUGAGACACGGUCCAGACUCCUACGGGAGGCAGCAGUGGGGAAUAUUGGACAAUGGGCGAAAGCCUGAUCCAGCCAUGCCGCGUGUGUGAAGAAGGCCUUCGGGUUGUAAAGCACUUUAAGCGGGGAGGAAGGUUCGCGGCCUAAUACGUCGCGGAAUUGACGUUACCCGCAGAAUAAGCACCGGCUAACUCUGUG